UUUAACAGACCUAAACGCAGCAUUGAUAUGGCAUCAUCCUUGGCGAAACGAGCUUCUCGUUGCUUUAAUCCCUUCAAUAUGACGGGAACACACCCACUCAGUCCUUAUUAAAGUGCAGCUCAUUGACACAAUUUCACCACUUUGGGCUGAGUUUUAUCCAGCACGCAGGCUGCUGCUCUCGAGCUCUUUCACGUGUACACGGUUGAUUUAAAAUAAGCAGAAUGUGUUCUCAAAAGUCCUGUCAGGUUUUAAAGAGUGUUGGUGGAGGUUAUGUGGGCAUAAUGGAUACUGAUGACGGACCAAAGCUGUCCGUCAUGGAUAUUCAAGGAGGAACAAAUAAUGCACCAAAAAUAAUUAUUUACCAGCGGAUGGAACAAAAAGGAAAUCAGAGCGGAAAAGCAAAUCAGGUGGCCCUCUGCUGUCCACAUGAUCAGCUUUUCUACACCAUUUGUGUAAAAGAGAAAAAGAUUAAGUUAGAGAAAGCUAAAGCUGAGCCCAGUGGAAAAUACCUCUGUGGAUUGUCUGAGUGUUGGUUUAAAAAAGACAACAAUGAUGGUUCAGCAUAUCAUGCUCUGGAGUCCGUGGAUGAACCUGGCCAGUACCUUUGUUUAGUACCUGGAAGCAAAGACGUCUGCAUUAAGCCACAGGUGUACUGCUUGAGGAUCAAGUAGGGAAGGUGAAGUUCACCCGAAAGGACUGUAACAUGGUCUGUACCAGGGGACAGCUCCACCUACCAGGAUAGAUAGAUAGAUAGACAGAUAGAUAGAUAGAUAGAUAGAUAGAUAGAUAGAUAGAAACUCGGCUUCUUGUUUAUGAACUUUGAAGAAAGAAAUUGGAAAGAAAUCUCAGAACAGUUGGCUUUUAUACCCACUUCGUUUAUUUUUAGAAGUUUAUUUUAAAUCGUGUCGUUUUCUUGAACCCUUUCACCCAUAAAAGCCACUAUGGCUAAAGAUAAUUAAUGCGAGCAUGUCCAUUGUGUACUGCAGAUACACAUUAGCCACUGCAUUGUACUCAAUCCUAUCACCUUACACCACCACCUAGUGGAGAGUCAGAUAUGUCAUGUUUUCGGGUAUUACUGCGUAAAUAUGGUAGUUACUCAUACUGUAUUUUGUGGAAUGCAAAGCAUAUAUAUACACGUAUAUACUGUAUAUAUUUAUACACAUAUAUGUAUCACAAGCCAAUCACAAGAUGUUUGCAUUCGCUUUAUUUUAGAAAUGUCUGAUAAUAUCUGCCAACCGAUAUUAUAGGCCGAUAUUAGCUUAAUUAUGUAAUUUGGUCGUUUCCGAUAAUGAGUAUAUAUAAUAACGCAACGCCUGGAUUUUGCCAAACGAUGUGUGCUCUAAAAUAGUUUGUGAAGUGAAAGUGAAACUGUUAUUUGUAUUGUACACAGUAUUAUCAUUGUGGCAUACCACUGCACAUAAUGAAACGUGUACUCUCCCUUUAACCCAAACGCCUACAUAUAUCGGCAUCGGGUGAUAUCGGAAGUUUUUGGACAACAUGUGCAAUUUGGAUAUCGACAAAAUGUUAAUAUCGGACAUCCCUACUUUAUUUCCAUUGGUUUGUUCUUUCGAGUCUGUAUGUGAGUGUUUACACUGCUGGUAAGCACAGAAAUUCCUCUCUGUAACUUCCACUGUACUAUGUCUCCCCACAAAUAUGUGACACUGACAGUUUAUUGGCAUCGGAGUUCUGCAGCGUGAUGUUCCAGAGCUGCUGUAAUUAGUUGUGCUGUUCCGAGCACAGUCACCGCCUCAGACUACCGUCAGAGAUUACCAAAAUAAACGGAUGCGGUGAAUGGACGCACAUGGUGUGCACGCACGAUAAGCGUAUCUAUACCAUGCAUGUACUCGACUGUUAUUCACUUAAUACAAAUUGCCUGCUUGGUUAACAUGUAAAAUACACACAAACGGUUUUUUUUUCUUUUUAAUGAAUUACUGUCUAAGGCUGAUGAUUGUCAUUUUAUUCGUAAUGGCAGUGUUUUACUGUGAAUCGACAAUAAAUAAAUAAACAAAAGAAGCUGUUUAUCC